rnacentral:rRNA from 1 species
GUGUCAGCCGCCGCGGUAAUACGUAGGGGGCGAGCGUUAAUCGGAAUUACUGGGCGUAAAGCGUGCGCAGGCGGCUUUGCAAGACAGAUGUGAAAUCCCCGGGCUCAACCUGGGAACUGCAUUUGUUACUGCAAGGCUAGAGUACGGCAGAGGGGGAUGGAAUUCCGCGUGUAGCAGUGAAAUGCGUAGAUAUGCGGAGGAACACCGAUGGCGAAGGCAAUCCCCUGGGCCUGUACUGACGCUCAUGCACGAAAGCGUGGGGAGCAAACAGGAUUAGAUACCCCUGUAGUCC